CCUUCGGGUUGUAAAGCUCGUGUGGGGAGAGACGAAUAAGUGUAGUCGAAUAGACUGCAUGAUGACGGUAUCUCCUUAGCAAGCACCGGCUAACUCUGUGCCAGCAGCCGCGGUAAGACAGAGGGUGCAAACGUUGUUCGGAAUGACUGGGCGUAAAGCGUAUGUAGGCGGCUUUGCAGGUCGGAUGUGAAAUCCCUUGGCUCAACCAAGGAAGUGCAUUCGAAACCGCAGAGCUUGAGUGCCUGAGAGGAAGGUGGAAUUCUCGGUGUAGAGGUGAAAAUUCGUAGAUAUCGAGAGGAACACCCGUGGCGAAAGCGGCCUUCUGGAAGAGCACUGACGCUGAGAUACGAAAGCAUGGGGAGCAAACAGGAUUAGAUACCCUGGUAGUCCAUGCCGUAAACGAUGGGUGCUAGAUGUGGCGGGUUUUGACCCCUGCCGUGUCGUAGCUAACGCAUUAAGCACCCCGCCUGGGAAGUACGGCCGCAAGGCUAAAAACUCAAAGGAAUUGACGGGGGC
rnacentral:rRNA from 1 species